GAACAACCGUGUCUUACCAAUAACGUUUUUCCCACUACUAGUGCCACUUUGGCCUACUAGUCUCCCUUAGACCCUACUAGUAGCGCCAAAAUGCCCACUAGUAGCACUCGUAAGGCAUUUUUGACCUUACUAGUAAUUCUAGUAACAUUAAGAAUGCCCAUUAAUAGUACUAGUAAGAACCAAAAUGUCCACUGGUAGCACUAGUAAGAUGUUUUUGACCUUACUAGUAGAACUAGUGAGGCUCAGAAUGUCUUUCACAUUUGCACCGCUACUAGUGCUACUAGUAGGCCAAAAACACCUCACUAGUAGUACUAGUGGACACUUUUGCCCAACUAGUACUAGUAGUGGGCAUUCUCAGUAGUAGUAGUACUAGUAAGGUAAAACAUACCUUACUAGUGCUACUAGUGGACAUUUUGGUACUUUUAGUGGUGCCGAAAUGCCCACUACUAGCACUAGUAAGGCAUAUUGACCUCACUAGUGCUAGUGGUGGGCAUUUCGGCACCACUAGUAGGGUCCAGGAGGCUACUAGUGUGUGACACAUGCCUGCUAGUAGGGCCUAGUAGUGUUACUAGAGCAGCACAGUAGUUUACUAGUAAGGUUUGAUUGCGCACUAGUAGGCCAAAGGAAAAAACGUUACUAGUAAGACAUGGUUGUUCUACUAGUGUGCCAAAUUGUCUGACUAGUGAGGACAAAAAGCUUACUAGUACAUGGACCUAAAAGUCCGAUAUCAAGGAUAUCGAAUAAAUACUCAAACGGCUUUCCAUAGAAAGUGCUUUCAGCGCAUCUCGUGGUACUUGAUCCAAAGAAGUAAGUCUUUGUCGACUCUGAAAUAAACUUUGAACCUCCGGCAUCCCGAAGAUUCUGAAUCAGUUGGUGAACGAGAGGAUUCUCCAAAAAGCAAAGCUGGGAUGCUGCUCCUUCUGUCUUUGUCAAGAGUUUUGAGGAAAGACGUCCAGAUGACCCGGGGAAGUGCUCAAUCCCUGAAGUUCUGUUUUCCUUCAGGUUGCUUUGCAGCAUAGGCAGAUGUUGCAAGCGCAAGACGUGUAUGUCCAGUCAUAUCUCCAAAACAUGCUGCCUACCCAAACUUUAAAUGUGUCGGGUAUCACUCUGUAAAACAUUAAAAUGUGUGUUUUUCAAAAAAAAGUCAAGCUAUUCCUUUAAUCUACAUGAGAUCAGGAUGUGCCUUUAAUAGCUCUAACCUCAAAUUCUGCUGCAAAAAUAACAAGAUGCUGUUGAACUCUACCUUUUUUCCAGCAAGUUAUAAUACAAUGACACAGAUUCAGUUUGUGGUCUGAAA